GACGAACGCUGGCGGCGUGCCUAAUACAUGCAAGUCGAGCGCAGGAAAUCGACGGAACCCUUCGGGGGGAAGUCGACGGAAUGAGCGGCGGACGGGUGAGUAACACGUAAAGAACCUGCCCUCAGGUCUGGGAUAACCACGAGAAAUCGGGGCUAAUACCGGAUGGGUCAUCGGACCGCAUGGUCCGAGGAUGAAAGGCGCUCCGGCGUCGCCUGGGGAUGGCUUUGCGGUGCAUUAGCUAGUUGGUGGGGGAAUGGCCCACCAAGGCGACGAUGCAUAGCCGGCCUGAGAGGGUGAUCGGCCACACUGGGACUGAGGCACGGCCCAGACUCCUACGGGAGGAAGCAGUAGGGAAUCUUCCGCAAUGGAGGAAAGUGUGACGGAGCAACGCCGCGUGAACGAUGAAGGCCUUCGGGUCGUAAAGUUCUGUUGUUAGGGAAGAACAAGUACCAGAGUAACUGCUGGUACCUUGACGGUACCUAACCAGAAAGCCACGGCUAACUACGUGCCAGCAGCCGCCGUAAGAC
rnacentral:rRNA from 1 species